rnacentral:rRNA from 1 species
UACGAAGGGGGCUAGCGUUGCUCGGAAUCACUUGGGCGGUAAAGGGUGCGUAGGCGGGUCUUAAGUCAGGGGUGAAAUCCUGGAGCUCAACUCCAGAACUGCCUUUGAUACUGAAGAUCUUGAGUUCGGGAGAUGGUGAGUGGAACUGCGAGUGUAGAGGUGAAAUUCGUAGAUAUUCGCAAGAACACCAGUGGCGAAGGCGGCUCACUGGCCCGAUACUGACGCUGAGGCACGAAAGCGUGGGGAGCAAACAGGG